AAAAAAAAGAUGACAAAAUAAGUCAUCUUUCCUAGAGAAAUUUCUAGAGAGGGCAUGUGCCCCUCACAUGACUAUGGGAAUUAUAUAUACAUGAAAGAGCUUACCAAGCAAGACCAAAUUGUCAUGAAAAUUCAAGAAAUUCCAAGAGCAAAAACUUAAAGGCCAUUCGGCCAUAGCUCCAAAAAUUUACCCCAUGGGAAUUGAUCAAGAAAAAUUAUUUCCUUCUAGUAUUCCAAGCAAGUUGAAGGCCCUAAUUAACAUGGAGUGAUUGUUGGAACAAGAAAGCUAUUUAUUCUUGCAAUCUCAAGCCCUAUCCAAGUUGGAGAAUUAAGUGAAAAAGAUUUUGGAGAAUUUGGAACUUGAAUUUGGAGGAGCGUAAGAAGCGGAAAAAGGUACACCCAAAGGAUGCGAAGUUAGCAUAGAAGAUGUUCCAGCGGAGUUGGUAGGCUCCACUUGUCCUGGAGUGCUGCCAAGUCAGAGUAUAUGUACUAUGACGCUAUGUUCGAGGUUAGAGACUUUGCAGACAGAGUCGUGGGUAUAGAGUGUCAGCUUUGUAGACGGCUUCGCCAGUCGAUAUGUUAUUAUGUCUCAUGUCACGGGUCCCACAUGAUGAUAGACUUUACUUAUGAAAAGAAAAAGAAAAAAAAAGGAUUGGAGAGCUUACUAUGUAUUUAUUUCUUAAUUGGUUCAAAAGAUUAUAUGUGUAAUAAGAGUCAGCGGGUUCGCUCGGCUCCGAAUAUGGGGUCGGGUGCCCAUCACACCCUAGUAAAGUCGGGGUGUGACAUUCCAGACGUCUUUUAAGCUCGAGUUCAGCUUCAAACAAUCAGUAACCAAGAAUUGUAUUCAUCAAAUCCGGAAUUUGAAGACCCAGAUCUGAAAGCUUCAAGUCGAAACUCGACGUCCUUAAUGGAGUUUUUGUUUACUGGUUCUACUCUCUUAAUCCACUAUUAUUAAUCAUGUUUUCAAUGUCGACAAUGUCACAAAUCCUAUAUAAUAUCGAAAAAGAUCCGUUUGAUUUGGUCGUUACAAUGAAGUUUCUUUGGGUUUGAAAUUUUGGAAAGUGGAGAAAUGAAAAAUACCCAAUUGAAGAAUAAUUAAAUCUUUUAAACUCAACACAAAGGAAAGCAAAAGGCACAAACUCAA